GGCUUGGUGGUGGAUGGUCUACACCUGCUUUGUAUAAUAAAGAAUGGGUGCACACAGCAGGAGGAGCCUGUUCGAUUCAGGCCCAAGCCA